UAGUAAGUGGGAAAAAUAUUUUUAAAAGCUAUAAGUACAAGAGGUAUACUUUUGAUAUGAAAGGAUUUUUUUAUGUUUUUCUUGUUAGAAGGAUACAGAGACAAGACCAAAAGGCCUAGGUAUGUUGAGAAGACCUAAUGUCAUGAUCUUCUCUUCUGAGUGUUCAACAACUAAAGUUUGGAGACCAAACUGAAAAGAUAACUGGCUAUGAGGACAGCCAAUAUUUUGGCUCUGGGCGUUCAAGGUCAACAAAGAUCCAAGACAUAAGGGAACCUUCUCUACAGGAUCCUACAUCUUUGGAGUGGUACACCUUCAGCCAUUGGAAAGGAAGAAAUCUCAUUGCUUGAGACUCCAUGAUUAGAACUGGAGAUCAUCAUGUUGAAGGAAAUAAGGCAGGCUCAGAAGGACAAGUAUUGCACCAUCAUAUUCAUAUGUGGAAUCUGAAAAAAGUGUUGAUCUUAUAGAAGUUGAGCGUGGGAUGGUGACCAGAUGUUGGUUUGAUAAACGGAUACUAAGAGUUAGAUAGUUCUGCCAUGCAAUUUUGCAGUAAGCUGACUAUAAAUAAUGAUAAAUACUGAUAAUUUCAGAAAGUUACAAAAAUUUUUGAAACUUUUGUCUAUUCUGAAAAGAUAAAUAUUUGAGAAGAUAGAUAUGUUUAAACUUGACUUUAAUUCUACACAUGUAUUGAAAUAUCAUGGUACUCCAUUAAUAUGUGCAAUUUUUACAUUUUUAUGUUUCAGCUUAAAAAUAAAUGUGAUUCAAAUUUAAAAGAAUGGAGUAGCGCAUGAGUGUAUUAGUGAAAGACCAUGUUUAAUUGUUGUGACAAGUUAGAAAUUUGUUCUCCUAACAAGAAAUGACUCUAAUUGUAUUUGCAAACAAGUAGGAAAUUUUUGUGGAGGAAAAAGUUUAUGCAGAUUCUGUAAAACAAGGAAUAAUUCAUGCAUGGCAUAAUUUAUUCCAUCAAAAUUCAGCUUCACUUAUGCUUCUCUAAGGACAUUUGUAAGUAUUCCAGUGUAUCUCAAAUCUUGCAUAUAUACAUUUGCUAAUAUUUUAAAGUUGACUCAUGCUAAUAUUUAUAACUUGUGUUUUUUCCUCCAGUUCACAACCUCUCCCUGUUAGGCUAUUCCAUUUUCUACAACGUUAGGAAUCCAGGAUUUUAAACAAAAGACCAAUCUUCUACCAAAGUGUUAUAUCUACCACAGUGUAAUUUCUGUGUAACUGUCAAAACUUUCUUCCCUGAGUUGAAAUCCUUAACAAAACUGCUUUAUAGUUUUGCAGUCCACAAAGAUAGCCACCCACAUGGCAUUGAUAUAAAGGUCAGUCAUAGGCCUCUGUACACCAUUUUGUUUAUUUUUAUUACUUGAGUCUCAGACCAAAGCUGUUUGUAUCCCAGAGAUGCAAAAGAACUGUUCAGUUCAUCUUGAUAGGCACAUCUCUAUUCCUAAGGCUCAAGCUCAAGUGGUUGCAGGAGGUUAAGGAAACUGACCUGUAGAUAUACUCCACUCAGUGGAGGACGUGGUUGUUUAACCAUGUUACUUAAACUAUGUAACUAGUUUUAAGAAAUUCCCACCAGAGUACCAAACAGGGAUAGUCAUGAUUGAAUCCCAGCCAUGGAAAAUUCUUUGGCUAAAAGUAAUCAUUAUUUUGACUGUUUAUUCCUAUUUGAGGACUAGGAAUAUAUCAAUUUUGACACUGAAAACAUUAUUUAACCAUCAUGCAUGAAACUCAGUGCAGUAAUAGAUAAUCCAUACAUUACUCCAACAUGUACAAAUUCUGUAGUAGUUCAGAGUAUCUGAUGUCAUAUUCCCUGCAAUUGAAUCAUAGAUGUGCCCUGUCAAAAAGUCACUUAACCUUCUGCACCUCAGUUUCUUCAUCCUUUAAAUGGGGUUGACAUUACAAACAUAGUUCACAGAAGCCUUUUCUAAAAAGACUCAGUGCAGGUAAGUAGUAAAUAAUCCCUAUUUACUAUGAUGACUUUUGUUAUAUCAUUAACAGAUCACUUUUCUUUUAAAACCAUCAUAAAUGUUUAAAGUGAUUUGUCAUUUUUACUUGUUCUUGUCUUACAUGAGUGAUGGUCAAUAGUCAAAGGUAUAAAUCUAAACACUAGUAAAUUGUGGCACAUAAUACAUAAAUAAAUCUUUUUGAUAUAUCAAAAGAAGGAUGAAGACAUGUUAAACCACAAUGAAAUCUAUACUCAAGUUGGAUAUGUUAGAAAGGAGCAAAUAUUUAAUGAUCAAAUUUUGUCACAAUACAAAUCAUUUGUUUACAAAGUCUCUCUUUAUAUCAUUUUAUAAUAGAAUUAUGUACAAG